rnacentral:tRNA from 1 species
GGUGGAGUGGCCGAGUGGCUUAGGCAAGGGCCUGCAAAGCCCUGUACGCGGGUUCGAUUCCCGCCUCCACCUC